rnacentral:misc_RNA from 1 species
CAGCCGCCGCCCGAACCCCCG